UGUCGGUGGAAGCAGCGGUGGAGGAGGAGGAGGUAGCCAACACUGUUUUUUAUAUAUAUAUAUAUAUAUAUUUUAAUUGGGGUAGCCCCCAAAAUAUUGGGACCGCAGAGUAACUGUUGACAUUAUAGUUGCACAGGCACGUUGUUGACUCUAGAGAACCUCGGGCUAAUCACACAUCCCCGUGACGGCGACUUUGCAUGCGGAUGUCAUCCAUAUCAGUUUCUGCACCUACCAUGGUGAUCACGGGUAACGGGGAACCAGGGUUCCAUUCCAUACAGGGACCCUGAGAAACAGCUACCACAUGCAAGGAAGGCAGCAGGCACGCAAAUGACCCACUCCUGACGCGGGAACGUAGUGACGACA